rnacentral:lncRNA from 1 species
ACCCAACCUGUGUUUGUUUUAAGAAUCUCUUUAAUAGCUUAAAGAAGACAGACAGAUUUUCAGUUCUGCUCUGUGUUCAUUCAUUCUAUCUCGGUAUCACAUUAUGUAGUCUCUGGAAAAAUCUACUGUACUCUCCUGAAAGAAUAAAAUGGCAAAUGAUGCCUAACAUUAUAAUAUUAAUAGUUUUGAUCUGUCAGACUCUUUAACAGGGUCUCAGGGACCUCGAGACUUCUUGGACCAUGUUCUGAGAACUGCUAGCUUAAUUUGAAGAAAUUGUGGUAUCUGUGGCUCGAGCUCUCAGUGCAUCCAAGAUCCUGAGCUGCCAGGGGCCUGGCCUCUCCCACCCCGAGCCCUGCCUUGGCUGAGCUGUCACUGCUGCAUGUCCCAGGCUGCUGGCCUGCCUGUCAUCUGCAGUGCACAGGUUCUGAAACAAGAUUCCAGAGUAUAAUACUAUACAUGGAGCAUAAUGGCUGCCCACCUCCUUCCCCAAGGAGAAACGGACAAGCAACUGUGGACCUGGGGCAGUGUAGCAGGCUCUCAGUGCAUCCAGGAUCCUGAGCUGCCAGGGGCCUGGCCACUCCUGCCCAGAGCCCUGCCUUGGCUGAGCUGUCACUGCUGCAUGUCCCGGGCUGCCGGCUUGCCUUUUCUCUGCAGUGCACAGAACAUGGGAGAUACUGGAAAGUAUUUUGGACGAUGUGGGAAUAGCUGUCAGUCAGCUCUUCCUAAGAUCCAACACAGUAUGACAGAUGCAACAGCAAAACAGUGA